rnacentral:rRNA from 1 species
CAGUCGCCACGGUAAUACGUAGGUGGCAAGCGUUGUCCGGAAUUAUUGGGCGUAAAGGGCUCGCAGGCGGUUUCUUAAGUCUGAUGUGAAAGCCCCCGGCUCAACCGGGGAGGGUCAUUGGAAACUGGGAAACUUGAGUGCAGAAGAGGAGAGUGGAAUUCCACGUGUAGCGGUGAGAUGCGUAGAGAUGUGGAGGAACACCAGUGGCGAAGGCGACUCUCUGGUCUGUAACUGACGCUGAGGAGCGAAAGCGUGGGGAGCGAACAGGAUUAGAUACCCCAGUAGUCCCUGUCUCUUAUAC